rnacentral:tRNA from 1 species
CAGAUUGUAGCUUAUGUGUUAAAGUAUAUUUUUUACAUAAAUAGGAAAAUUAUUUAUUCAGUCUGA